GGGAAAUAAGUUUUACAGGUAUUGCUCAUCUUUGAAGAUGUCUCAGAUCAUCUUCAAACAAAUCUUGAUAUUAUGUAACUUUUCUAGUUUUCGAUUCCUAAAUAAAGCAAAAAUUUCCAUCAACUUGAAUUUUGAUAGACAACAAAUACAAAUACACAAAUCCACUAAAAUUUACACAAGCCUGUUAAGUAAUUAAAGCCUCUUCUGGUCUUCAUCUUAAACAAAUCAAGAAGUUGACUCCUCUUCAAGCUCCAUUUUGUGUAUUGUAUAUUCUCUCUCAAACAACAAAAAUUCCUGCAACUGAUUCUGACUGAAGAGACGAAGAAAUCCAAUUUCAGGAUCUGUGACAAGGUUGAUCAACUCCUCAUGGUUAUUAGGUGGAUUACCAGACUCCGCGAGUGAGACAGAAACCUGC
rnacentral:misc_RNA from 1 species